ACCAGACCGACUGUUGCUUUGCAAAUCAUUGCAAACCUCAAAGCUGCAGAGGGAACAUGCCCACAGGACUGUGUGACCUCAGCAUGGGCUACACGGCAGCCACCUGCUGGGAAGAGCGAAGGAGUGUCCAAAUGCUUUGGGUGGCAAAUCAAAGUCAGCUGAACAGCCUGAUUAACCUGCUGGGGAGGUUAGAAGAGGCAGAUGGGUGGCAGCAGAAAGAUUGGACUGAGAGGGAGAGCUAUGUUGGGCUGCUCCUUGAACGAUGCUAGAAAUAACACGUCUGGAUACCUAGGAGGAUCUCAGUCUCUGUGCUGAUCCUUGCAGCACUGUGGUUACUGCACAGCGUGUCUGCAGCACGAGUCAGCUCUGACAGGCAGUGAUGCUUUUCUGCAGUUGCUGGCUUUAAGAGUGCCAAACCUGAAACCUCUGAUCUGGAAUGUGAUUUGCAAAUCCACCCAAGCAGAUACUUCUGGAGAGAUGAAGCACAGUCAAAAGUUGGAUCCAACCUUUUUCCAGAAAUGGGGUUGGAUGUGAGGAAGAUGAGAAGCAUCCUGAGAACAUGGUGCCAUUGUUGCCACGGUUAUGGAACGGUUUGCAGUCUCUGAGAGGGUGAGAACAGUGAGCAGUAUUGUCUGAGGACUGUCCUGACAGUGAUUAUCUCUGAGGCAAAGCAGCAACAGAUUCACAGGGAACUGCUGAAUUUUUAAUAGACUUCAGUUUAUUAUUGAAGUAUGGCAAUGGAGCAAACAGUCCCUGUUGCACCACAGCAGAAAGCCUGGCCAGGGUUGCUGCCUCCAGAAACUGCUCUGUGGCUCGGUGUGAGCGUGCACACAUGAAAGUCUCAGUGCAACGUGGAGAUCAAGAGGAUCAAGGUGUUCCAGCUUUUCAUCCUCAGUGCUGGUGCAGAAAAGCUUCCAGCUUUGCUGUUCGCCUUCGUUACCUGCAGUGAGCGGGGGCAGGCGGUGCGCAGUGCGGCCGGGCCGGGCCGUUUCGGGGAUUUGGGGCUGCAGCCUGGGUCCUGCUCCACAGCCGUGAGCUCUGCGGAGGAGUGAGGAUGGAGUCUGCCAGAGGCCCGCAGCUGCACCAGGAGGGAAGGCAACUCCCAUCGCCAGCAGAGGAUCUGUGGGUGCCUCGGCACCCUGUCUGUGAGGAGGAGCUCCCAGUGCUGCCUCUGAAGCUGUGCUGUGGAUCCCAGUGAAGCAGUGCUAACAUGAGCCUUACGCAGUGCAGAGACUGGCUGCUACUGGGCCAUCGCCGGGCUGAAAACGCCCUUAGCACCUUUGAAAAGCAACCAGUAGAACAUUUUUAUUGUCUGAUAACCAAGCAAUUAACUCGUGUCACAACUGUAUAGUGUUUCUUUUGCCAUAAUAUGGAGCUUUUAAGAAGAAAAUUAAACCUGCCAAGCAUCAUUACAUGAUAAGCCUACCAAGCAAGCAACUAUUCAGAUUUCAGUGGCCUUGACUGAAGAACCUGGGAAAGUUCAGACAACUGGAAAAUGUAAGCAUCUGGCCAGACUCCAGAUAAUUUACCAGUACAUUAGAGGUAAUUUUUUGCUGGGUUCAUGUAUACCUGGUGAUUCCUAUUCAACUAUGGAAAUUUUUCUUGUUCUUGUAUACAUCCUCAUUACACGCAACUGACACGUUAGACACCAAGCUACAGCCUGUUGCUCCUGCUGCUUCUGAUCAGAAACCUGACAUCUUACUGAAAUGGAAGUGAAAACGUGGAAGGCUUUGGAAGAUCUGGGUAGGAAUCCUAUGGAGUGCAUUAGCAUUUGGUGAGCUGGGCACAAGAAUUACUCAGGAAAUUAAAAGGAGGAUGUUAUUUUGAGGUGAUAAAACAUUAAAAUAUGGAACUUGCAUUUGAGUCAGAUCCAGACUUAAUUUUCCCUUUUUAAGCUGUAGCUUAUGAAAAUCCUGAUUCUAUGCCAGUAACGAGUGAAGUCUUUGGGAUAUUGCAAGAGGGAGAAGAGAACAAAUUUGAUGGUGCUGGUGUUGGGCUUCUCAGUGACAUUUUGAUGAAAUGAAAAAUGCUGAAACAAGUCAAAGGACAGGGAAGGUGGCAGGGUAGCUGAAACAAAACGGCAGGCAAGCCUACUUACAUGACACGUUAAUUAAGGUGAUGUAGUUGUAGCUAUCCUUGCUGCAGUGGGUCACUGAGCAAGGAGGAAGCAGUGGGACGGCUACAGCCUCUUUGAUAAUGAAUUCAUUUUGAUAGGCUCCCGCUGACACCUACAAACGUUUCUCUGACGGAGUCAGCCUUUCAGAAGAGCUAAAUUCUCAACAGCACAGCUUUGGCUUAGGUGGUCCUGCUGCCAUACCAGCUGGGGGGACGUAAUGAUUUUGAGAUACCAUUCUCUUUUUUUCGGGAAACAAAGUGGAUGCAAAGUAAAAAUUCAUCCCUCAGUUUGCUGCAUAGACCAGCUCUAAUAUGAAGGUCUUGAACUUACAAAAUAGCAAUACAGAUCCUUCCCAUGUUCGCCAGCUUCAUGUAGUUUCCAGGCUGACUCAAGUUGUCCCAAGAGGCUGAGGAGGACCGUCCCCUGGAGUCCAUCUUCAAGGGAACUAGGGUUUACAAAAAGGUCUGUAUUUUGCUGCAAGUACCAGAAAAAAAGAUGUGGGCAUGAAACCUGUAAGGAGGCACUGUGCAGAUGUCUUCCUGGGGCCGCUGGAAGGAGGAACACCCCAAGUCUCCAGCUACAGCCCUGUGGUCCCAGGGCUGUGCUGUGCUGGGCGCAGCUCACGGAUCGCUGCGUGGUGCUGUUGUGAGGCCUUGGCUGCUGGUGAAAUACAAACCAACCUUUUUUUUUUUUUUUUUAAUUAGAUGCAUUUAGCUCUGCUGUGGCCUGUUGGAAAUAUGUGUAAAGAGAUUUAACAAAGUCUUCUGUAAAGGCAGAAAAAAUAAAAUAUCCUUAGUGAAAUACAAAACCCUCAAGUCUUUGC